ACUCCUACGGGAGGCAGCAGUGGGGAAUAUUGGACAAUGGGGGAAACCCUGAUCCAGCCAUGCCGCGUGUGUGAAGAAGGCCUUCGGGUUGUAAAGCACUUUCAGUGGGGAGGAAAGGUUGAUGGUUAAUACCUAUCAGCUGUGACGUUACCCACAGAAGAAGCACCGGCUAACUCCGUGCCAGCAGCCGCGGUAAUACGGAGGGUGCAAGCGUUAAUCGGAAUUACUGGGCGUAAAGCGUGCGUAGGCGGCUUUUUAAGUCGGAUGUGAAAUCCCCGAGCUUAACUUGGGAAUUGCAUUCGAUACUGGGAAGCUAGAGUAUGGGGAGAGGAUGGUAGAAUUCCAGGUGUAGCGGUGAAAUGCGUAGAGAUCUGGAGGAAUACCGAUGGCGAAGGCAGCCAUCUGGCCUAAUACUGACGCUGAGGUACGAAAGCAUGGGGAGCAAACAGGAUUAGAUACCCUGGUAGGUCAGUC
rnacentral:rRNA from 1 species